AAAAGAGCAAGUCAGGGAACUAGCUUUGGUUGGGUUCGGUGGUACACAAAGCACAAGGCCUGGGUUGGGGUUAGGAGGAAAUGAGACUUGCGGCGGGUCGGGGCUGAAGAUGUGGCAGCGCCCUGAACCUGGAGAAAGGCUGGUACGUAAACGCCUGCGUCGCAAUCUGGAGUCAGCUGGAGUGUCCCGGCAGAAUCCCUUUGGUCAAGGAGAGGGAGAGAGAGGUAAGGGUCUGGUCUUACUUUUUAAGCAGGAAGAAGACUACAAACCACCAUCUACCAUCUGCCAGGUAAUUUUAAACCAGUCCACUUAAUCCCCAUCAGAUUUUCCAGAUGCUUUGAAUGCAGAGCUAAGGUUGAGAACCACUGAUUUAGACAAAUAUACUAUGGGAGAAGGGGAAGGAGGUUCCACCAGCAGAGAGCAACCAGCUAGAGCCAUUUGGGGCUUAUCACAAAAGACUUCUUGUCAGGGAAAUUCACCUAUUGAGAGACAUUUUGGUUGUUUCCAAUUCUGGGCCAUUGAAAAGAAUGCUAAUAAGCAAAGCCCCUCUUCUGCUAUGAAAGUAACAGUGGGCAGAUAUUCCCUCUCUGGCCCUUGGGUAACUGAAAGGAGGCUUAUAACCAAAGCACAGCCAGUGAGAUGCUCCUGCUCAGGAUGUUGAUUUUGGAGAAGUGACACAAGGUAUAUGAUCAGAGUUAAGGGUUCAGUAGGCCAGUAAUGAGUGCCAGUGGUGUUGGUUCCAGUAGCACAAUGGUAAGUAUCCAGUUUAGAAGGCUCGGGUGGCAGCAUCCUAAGCCCACUAUCCCUAGCGAGAUGCUGGCUGUGCCUCACCAACCCUCAUCCCUGCCUCAUCCUUGUUCUCCAGCUUCCCAUUAAAACUGUGAGCUUCCUAAUACCUUUCCAAUAAAUUAAAUUUUGUCAUAAAUAUACCAUAAUCCAUUUCUAUUGUUUCUUUCUUUUUUUUUCUUUUUUUUUUUGAGGCAGAGUCUUGCUCUGUCACCCAGGCUGGAGUGCAAUGGCACAAUCUUGGCUCAUGGCAGCCUCUACUUCCCAGGUUCAAGCGAUUCUCCUGCCUCAGCCUCCCGAGUAGCUGGGAUUACAGGUGCCUGCCACCACGCCUGGCUAAUUUUUGUA
rnacentral:lncRNA from 1 species